AGCAUGUAUUUCCAUGUCAGCAACCAAUCAUGUACAAUAAAUACAAGUCAAGACAUCUUUUAAUGGAUGUGAUCCCGACCACAUCAUUCACAAAUAAUUGGGGCUUGAAUGCCACUGCUCAAGGACUAGAAAGAAGUUAUAGUUUUUCCAUUGUCUGCUUCUUCAUUUUCUUCUUACCAUGCCAGAUCUUUCACUGAAGUUGCCUGGCUUCACAGGAUUCCUGUAGUUUCCAAAGCCGGUUGGAGAAAUAGGUGAGAGGUCACAGCAGUUUCUCCCUCUCCCUCUCCCUGUGUGUGUCCACGUUCAUGAAUGUGACAUGAAGCUCUUGUUUAACAGCAUGCCUGUCCUUGCCCCGGCUGACACUGCUAACUCCGGCAUGUGCGUAAAAUGCAGAGGGCUUUCAACCAAUCAAGCCUUGCGUUGUGAACACUGCUAUUUUGUUUGUUUGUUUGUUGUGGUUAAAAGACCAAGGUGUGGCGAUGGCCAGGUUGACUCAGAAGUCCAGCAUGUUGUGGUGUGUGUUGACGCCUGUUCGUGAGAGGCCAUUUGAGAGCUCAGCCCGUCCUUGAGGGGAGACAAAACAGGUCCUGAUGGGACAUGGUGUGUGUAGGCGACAACAUUAAUACUCAUUGUUUACUUGAGUUUCUGUAUUUCAUCAUCAGACAAGAAGAACUGCAUCUAGAGAAAAACUGAAAACACGGAAAGGAAAAACAUAGUAAAGGCCUCUCUGCCACUGCACGGCUGGCUGCUGGCAGAUGAUAAGGCGGCAGCCCCAGAAGAUACUGGGCCAGACUUUGCUCCCUGUGUUACCACUACAGUGCUGCCAGCAGCAGUGUAAAUGACCUGCAUACGACACAGUGGGACUGUCCAAGUUGCAGAUCUCUGCACAUCAGGAGAACUCUCCUGAAGCCCUCAUGCCAUGCGUGCAUCCCAUGGGUCUGUCCCUACAAGGCUAAAGCAAACAGGGUCUGGAAGUGGUGUCCUUGGCAAGCAUGUGCUGAUAAACACAGCAUGAGUGAGGACAGGCUGUGCUCUCCAGAGGGGGGGUGGGGUGGGGGGCGACAGCCCCUCAUUCACGCUCCCCUGGAGGAUAUUAUGAAACUUAACGAGGGAGCUAUUUUAAAUUCCCCAAAGGAUUAGGGUACCUCUGAUGAUA